rnacentral:rRNA from 1 species
GAUGAACGCUGGCGGUAUGCUUAACACAUGCAAGUCGAACGGACUCUUCGGAGUUAGUGGCGGACGGGUGAGUAACGCGUGAGAAUCUGGCUUUGGGUUCGGGACAACCACUGGAAACGGUGGCUAAUACCGGAUGUGCCGAGAGGUAAAAGAGAAAUUGCCUGAAGAUGAGCUCGCGUCUGAUUAGCUAGUUGGUGAGGUAAAGGCUCACCAAGGCAGCGAUCAGUAGCUGGUCUGAGAGGAUGACCAGCCACACUGGGACUGAGACACGGCCGAGACUCCUACGGGAGGCAGCAGUGGGGAAUUUUCCGCAAUGGGCGAAAGCCUGACGGAGCAAUACCGCGUGAGGGAAGAAGGCUCUUGGGUUGUAAACCUCUUUUCUUAGGGAAGAACAAAAUGACGGUACCUAAGGAAUCAGCACCGGCUAACUCCGUG